rnacentral:rRNA from 1 species
UACGAAGGGGGCUAGCGUUGUUCGGAAUCACUGGGCGUAAAGCGCACGCAGGCGGAUCGUUAAGUCAGGGGUGAAAUCCUGGAGCUCAACUCCAGAACUGCCUUUGAUACUGAGAAGCUUGAGUCCGGGAGAGGUGAGUGGAACUGCGAGUGUAGAGGUGAAAUUCGUAGAUAUUCGCAAGAACACCAGUGGCGAAGGCGGCUCACUGGCCCGGUACUGACGCUGAGGAGCGAAAGCGUGGGGAGCAAACAGG